rnacentral:rRNA from 1 species
AUACAGAGGGUGCGAGCGUUAAUCGGAAUUACUGGGCGUAAAGCGCGCGUAGGCGGUUACGUAAGUCGGAUGUGAAAGCCCCGGGCUUAACCUGGGAAUUGCAUUCGAAACUGCGCGGCUAGAGUCUGAUAGAGGGAAGUGGAAUUUCCGGUGUAGAGGUGAAAUGCGUAGAUAUCGGAAGGAACAUCAGUGGCGAAGGCGGCUUCCUGGAUCAAGACUGACGCUCAGGCGCGAAAGCGUGGGGAGCAAACAGGAUUAGAAACCCCGGUAGUCC